rnacentral:rRNA from 1 species
UGUCUUGGAUUCGGGUUGUUUGGGAUCGCAGCCCAAAGCAGGUGGUAAACUUCAUCUAGGACUGAAUAAGACUACGAGUCCGAUAGCGAACAAGUACCGUGAGGGAAAGUUGCAAAGCACUUUGAAGAGAGAGUUAAAGAGGACGUGAAACCGAUGAGGUGGAAACGGACAGAGCUGGCGUAUCUGGCCUGUAUUCAGCCGUGGGCUCGCUGGCGUCAGGGAUGCCGCUCUCCAGAUUGGGACGGUGGCCUGUCUGCCGGUGGGUUUGUGGUGCAUUUGCAGGUGGAGUGCGCCGAGGCGCUCGGGUGCAGCGGCAUGAGCCCAGUUUUGAGGCCAGCCUCGCAAGAGGUCUGGUACCCGGACUGUUGGGGAGUGCUGUUUGCCCUGGGUGUACAAAAAGGGUAAUGGUCUCGGGCCCGGGUGGGCGCCGAGCUGGCAGUCGGAGGCGGUCGCAUGCGACACGUGCCAGCGGUCAGUUCGGUCCUGCUCGAGCUCACAUCU